rnacentral:rRNA from 1 species
CUACUGGUUAUUUCUAGCGGCGGACGGGUGAGUAACGCGUGAGCAACCUGCCUUUAUCAGGGGGAUAACGCAUCGAAAGAUGUGCUAAUACCGCGUAAGACCACAGCUUCACAUGGAGCAGGGGUCAAAGGAGCAAUCCGGAUAAAGAUGGGCUCGCGUCCGAUUAGCUAGUUGGUGAGAUAACAGCCCACCAAGGCGACGAUCAGUAGCCGGACUGAGAGGUUGAACGGCCACAUUGGAACUGAGACACGGUCCAGACUCC